rnacentral:rRNA from 1 species
UACGGAAGGUCCGGGCGUUAUCCGGAUUUAUUGGGUUUAAAGGGAGCGUAGGCCGGAGAUUAAGCGUGUUGUGAAAUGUAGACGCUCAACGUCUGCACUGCAGCGCGAACUGGUUUCCUUGAGUACGCACAAAGUGGGCGGAAUUCGUGGUGUAGCGGUGAAAUGCUUAGAUAUCACGAAGAACUCCGAUUGCGAAGGCAGCUCACAGGAGCGCAACUGACGCUGAAGCUCGAAAGUGCGGGUAUCGAACAGG